GGGGUAGACGUGGAUUUGACAGCAUGAAGAAUAGGUAUGUAAGCAUGUCGGGCGUAGUGAAGCCGGCCCGUAAAUCCCGGACGCAAAAUUUUAAUUGGCGAAAGAAAUUACGCUCUUGCUGCCUAAUCGAAUCAUAGUAGAUUGAGGCUUAAUCUCCGCUCAAGGUAGUGGAGACGAGACAUCCCGCUGGCGGUCCUACCUUGUGCCAACCAGCAUCCGGGGUGCAGGCAAUACGAGGUUAGUCAACAUCUUGUUUCGUGGUGCUGAUGAAAUAACAGAAACUAAGGUAUAGUUUGGGUGCUUUUUUCCGGGCUAUAUUCGAAAACCAACAAAAAGCUAAGCAUGUAGAAAGCAUAUGGAUUCCGUGUUUGGACUGGGGUUCGAUCCCCCACUACUCCACCA
rfam:Butyricimonas synergistica isolate 43_13 Ley3_66761_scaffold_1044, whole genome shotgun sequence.